GAUGAACGCUGGCGGCGUGCCUAAUACAUGCAAGUCGAGCGAACAGACGAGGAGCUUGCUCCUCUGACGUUAGCGGCGGACGGGUGAGUAACACGUGGAUAACCUACCUAUAAGACUGGGAUAACUACGGGAAACCGGAGCUAAUACCGGAUAAUAUAUUGAACCGCAUGGUUCAAUAGUGAAAGACGGUUUUGCUGUCACUUAUAGAUGGAUCCGCGCCGCAUUAGCUAGUUGGUAAGGUAACGGCUUACCAAGGCAACGAUUCGUAGCCGACCUGAGAGGGUGAUCGGCCACACUGGAACUGAGACACGGUCCAGACUCCUACGGGAGGCAGCAGUAGGGAAUCUUCCGCAAUGGGCGAAAGCCUGACGGAGCAACGCCGCGUGAGUGAUGAAGGUCUUCGGAUCGUAAAACUCUGUUAUUAGGGAAGAACAAAUGUGUAAGUAACUAUGCACGUCUUGACGGUACCUAAUCAGAAAGCCACGGCUAACUACGUG
rnacentral:rRNA from 1 species